rnacentral:tRNA from 1 species
GCGGUUGUAGCUCAGUGGUAGAGCACUUGCUUGGCAUGUGUGAGGUCUGGGGUCGAUUCUCAGCACUGCA